UCAGCUUUUGAAAAUUAUCUUAAAAAAUUAGAUGAAUCCUUGAAUUUCCGUUUCAGAAAAGGCACAGUUUGCGUGUUGUUUAUAUAACAGCAGAAAUUUCCAUGCAAAUUUGCGUCUGUAUAUAUCAACAUCUCUAAAUUUGUAAAAAAAAUGUUUUUAAGAAAUGUCAAUGUAAUUUGUAGAGAAUGCUAAAAUUUUGCCAUUUUUGAGAACUGGACUUUCUACAUUAUGGAAAUUCGAUUGAAGUUUAAAUUUUGAAGAGGAGUUUGCGAAUAAAUGCUUUUUACAUGCACUCCUGAGCUUUAGCUAUGCACGUAAAAUUUGCGAUUUGUCAUCAUUGAGGUUUCUGAGUCUUCUGAAGAUUAAAAUUUCUAAUUAGAAAAGAGAUUUUCAAGCUUAGAAUUAUCUGAGAGUCGUGAUGUCAAGGUGUUUGAAAGACUUCGCAGAAGUAGUCAAAUUCCACACCACUGACGAUGAUGCAAAGAUUUAAAUUUCAUAUUUCAUUUCUGGAUUUGAACAUUCUCCUUCUUUGACACCAUAAUAAAAUACUACGCUGAAAAGUUAGAAAACCUGUUUAAAUGUUUGAAGACUGCACAAUAAACGAAAAGAAGUUUUCUCGAAAAAUGCAAUUAUCGAACGCAGUCGGGAAGUAGCUGUUGUAAAGAGCUUUUAAAAUUCUGUAAGUGACAUAUUCAAUAAAUAGAUUUAUUUUAAAAUCAAGAGGGGGAAACAAUUCUAAGCAGUAUUCAUCGAUUCAGUUAUAUUUGUUAAUUUUUCGAGGAAUGUUAUUUUGUUCUGAAUUUCAUUAUGACGGAUCAAAUGUACGUGGCUGUUAAUUACUUUAAUUGAAUCAGGACA